rnacentral:rRNA from 1 species
UACGUAGGGGGCUAGCGUUGUUCGGAAUUACUGGGCGUAAAGCGAACGUAGGCGGCUUUGUAAGUUAGAGGUGAAAGCCUGUAGCUUAACUCCAGAAUUGCCUUUAAGACUGCAUCGCUCGAAUCCGGGAGAGGUGAGUGGAAUUCCGAGUGUAGCGGUGAAAUUCGUAGAUAUUCGGAAGAACACCAGUGGCGAAGGCGGCUCACUGGACCGGUAUUGACGCUGAGGUGCGAAAGCGUGGGGAGCAAACAGG